rnacentral:rRNA from 1 species
UACGUAGGGUGCAAGCGUUGUCCGGAAUCACUGGGCGUAAAGCGCACGUAGGCGGAUUGCUAAGUCAGGGGUGAAAUCCUGGAGCUCAACUCCAGAACUGCCCUUGAUACUGGCGGUCUCGAGUCCGGGAGAGGUGAGUGGAACUGCGAGUGUAGAGGUGAAAUUCGUAGAUAUUCGCAAGAACACCAGUGGCGAAGGCGGCUCACUGGCCCGGUACUGACGCUGAGGUGCGAAAGCGUGGGGAGCAAACAGG